rfam:Salegentibacter echinorum strain DSM 24579 genome assembly, contig: Ga0131147_111
AAGAGCCGUAUGAAUUGAGAGGUUCACGUACGGUUCUGUGAGAGGUUUAGGGGUGAGAUUCCCCUUUACCUACUCGAC